rnacentral:rRNA from 1 species
UACGUAGGGGGCAAGCGUUGUCCGGAUUCAUUGGGCGUAAAGAGCUCGUAGGCGGUUCAGCAAGUCGGGUGUGAAACCUCCAGGCUCAACCUGGAGACGCCACCCGAUACUGCUGUGACUUGAGUCCGGUAGGGGACCACGGAAUUCCUGGUGUAGCGGUGAAAUGACGCAGAUAUCGGGAGGAACACCAGUGGCGAAGGCGGCGACCUGGGCCAAUAUUGACGCUGAGGUGCGAAAGCGUGGGGAGCAAACAGG